GUUGUGGCUCAGUGGUAGAGCGCUUGCCUAGCAUGCCUGGGACACUGAGUUUGAUCCCCAGCACAACG
rnacentral:tRNA from 1 species